AGAUUGAACGCUGGCGGCAGGCCUAACACAUGCAAGUCGAGCGGUAGAGAGGUGCUUGCACCUCUUGAGAGCGGCGGACGGGUGAGUAAUGCCUAGGAAUCUGCCUAGUGGUGGGGGAUAACGUUCGGAAACGGACGCUAAUACCGCAUACGUCCUACGGGAGAAAGCGGGGGACCUUCGGGCCUCGCGCCAUUAGAUGAGCCUAGGUCGGAUUAGCUAGUUGGUGAGGUAAUGGCUCACCCAAGGCGACGAUCCGUAACUGGUCUGAGAGGAUGAUCAGUCACACUAGGAC
rnacentral:rRNA from 1 species